UUACUUUCAUGUCAGACAUGCAGAAGGUAGUCUUUACAUUCUACUUUUCUAUUUCCUUACUGUUAAUUCUAUGUUAUUUGUAUCUUUUAACUAUUCUUAUUUGUAUCUUUCAGGGAUUGAUUCAGGCAGUCCAUACUAUGCCAAGGAAGAGAAACAAAUGAUGUGUGGUCUGGGAUGUCUUGUGGGCUUGUAAUUACUGCAUUUUGACAGUGUCUAUAAAUUUUUGGGGGUCAUAAUUUUGUAAUGAAGCAUACUGUUUAUGUAAUGCUGCUGGGCAGCUUUUUGUACUGAUGUUGUUUGUGUAAAUGCUGCUGCUGUUUAUGUAGUGCUGCUGGGCAGCUUUUUGUACUGAUG
rnacentral:lncRNA from 1 species